UAUUGGACAAUGGGCGCAAGCCUGAUCUAGCCAUGCCGCGUGAGUGAUGAAGGCCCUAGGGUUGUAAAGCUCUUUUGUGCGGGAAGAUAAUGACGGUACCGCAAGAAUAAGCCCCGGCUAACUUCGUGCCAGCAGCCGCGGUAAUACGAAGGGGGCUAGCGUUGCUCGGAAUCACUGGGCGUAAAGGGUGCGUAGGCGGGUCUUUAAGUCAGGGGUGAAAUCCUGGAGCUCAACUCCAGAACUGCCUUUGAUACUGAAGAUCUUGAGUUCGGGAGAGGUGAGUGGAACUGCGAGUGUAGAGGUGAAAUUCGUAGAUAUUCGCAAGGACACCAGUGGCGAAGGCGGCUCACUGGCCCGAUACUGACGCUGAGCACGAA
rnacentral:rRNA from 1 species